CCAGAGGUGUCAGAAACAAUGGAAAGUAACAAGACUGAGACUCCCCCCUCAACACAGACACAAAAAGUCUCUGUAAGGAAAGGUAAACAACUUGUUAAAUCCAAAGCUUCAAGCAAGAAACAAAUCAGCUCUGCUGCCACUGAGACGGAAGCAGCUGUUCCUGAAUCAGACCAUCCUGAGUGUUCUGAGCAGCCGCAGUCCUCAGGAAACAUCAUGACUGAGCCACAUGAAGGAGGUGGGGGUCAUGCAGCCGCAGAUAAAACUUUGACUGGAGGGAGAGAAGCUGACAAGAGAGUGACCUCACAAACCACACAAAGCUCCAGGAGCAGGCGUCAGAGCAAAAAAGCCGAAGGUUGUUCCUCUUUUUCUCCUUCCACAAUCAAACCUCCAUCUAGAAAAGCGACG